UACGUAGGGGGCAAGCGUUGUCCGGAUUUAUUGGGCGUAAAGAGCGUGUAGGCGGUUUGGUAGGUCCGUUGUGAAAACUCGAGGCUCAACCUCGAGACGCCGAUGGAAACCAUCAGACUAGAGUCCGGAAGAGGAGAGUGGAAUUCCUGGUGUAGCGGUGAAAUGCGCAGAUAUCAGGAAGAACACCCGUGGCUAAGGCGGCUCUCUGGGCCAUAACUGACGCUGAGGAGCGAAAGCGUGGGGAGCGAACAGG
rnacentral:rRNA from 1 species